GAACAUUUAACCCCUUUUGGCCUAUUUAGGACGUAGUGCGGAGACUGUUCAGGUGUAGACUUGAUAAUAGUUGUUACAUGAUACUACACUCAUACGAGAUUCUCUUGAGAAUAUUAUGUGUUGAUGAGUCAGUCAUCCUAACCUGUAAUAUCUGAUAGAUGGAAUUAAGACUUUGGGAACUUUUUAGAACAUGAUCUACAGGUUUUAUCC
rnacentral:lncRNA from 1 species